rnacentral:rRNA from 1 species
GACGAACGCUGGCGGCGUGCUUAACACAUGCAAGUCGAACGGAAAGGCCCUGCUUUUGUGGGGUGCUCGAGUGGCGAACGGGUGAGUAACACGUGAGUAACCUGCCCUUGACUUUGGGAUAACUUCAGGAAACUGGGGCUAAUACCGGAUAGGAGCUCCUGCUGCAUGGUGGGGGUUGGAAAGUUUCGGCGGUUGGGGAUGGACUCGCGGCUUAUCAGCUUGUUGGUGGGGUAGUGGCUUACCAAGGCUUUGACGGGUAGCCGGCCUGAGAGGGUGACCGGCCACAGUGGGGCGGAGGUCCGCCGCAGACCAGGGGGGGCGGCCGCGGGGGGGUCUGGCGAGCGAGGGGCGGGCGCCGGCUGCAGCAAGGCGGGGUGCGGGCUGACGGGCUUGGGGUGUGACGCCGCUGUCGCGUGGUGCGAGGGGUGGGUGGGGGGGGGGGAAAAAGAAGCACCGGAUAACAACGGGCCAGCAGCCGCAGUAAAAAUCGGAAGAGCCCCCGUCUAACC